rnacentral:sRNA from 1 species
CGGGCCCGGUUUUCCGUAUAAACUGGGUCAAUUCUCUUCUUCUAAAUAUAAAAGUGGAACAAAGCUCCGCCUUAGGGUUCAUAAAAAAAAAGAGGUACAGCGUGGUCGAGCUACUAGCCUGGCGUGCGUCGCCGUCGCUCGCACCGUGCCCCCACCCGCCGCCCGCUGAGCCUGCCCCGAAGCCACGUUGAGGCCGCCGCACUUUCGCCCGGGCGCCGCCCGCCGUGCUUGCGCCGGCCACCGCACCACCCUGCACCCACCGUCGGCCGCAGCGGCGCCUUGUCCCGCCUGGCACGCCCGCCGCCACGCCGCCAUGCGCUGGCCACCAACCGUGCAUGGCAGGAGAAAUCAACGCGCUGGCCACGGCGGCGUUGGUGUCCUGAACCCCCGGACAUCAUACACAACUGCCGAGCGAAGCGAAGACGAUGGGAGGGAAAAAGAAGAAGAAACGGC